rnacentral:sRNA from 1 species
GAGCAAGAGAUGGAGAGAGAGAGGAGCGUUGAGAGAGGGGAAUACCAAAAUUCCAAUCGGAAUUUCGGUCGGAGAAACAUGUCUAAUGAGACUUUUAUUUUAUCAUAGGCGCCGCAUUGAUAACAAGUUUUUCUACACACACACACACGCACACUCGACCACACGCUCAGAGUCACCCACGCACACACUGGCAUGCACAGCAUAUACACACACAUACACAGGAGCACGGCACGCACACGUCUCUUUCGCACAAGUGACAUAUUUUUUAUCAUAGCUGGUCUAUAACUUGGCCGAAACGCCUUUUCACCUUUACAACUCGUAUAUGGAGGACGGCUUUUAUGCAAAAAAAAAAAAAAAAAA